UCUUUACAUAACACUUCUACAACGAAUCGAAAGUUGUGAAGUAAUCUGUACUAUUAAAAAAUUCACAUAACAACUCUCUUUCAAAUUCUUUAAAUUUGGCUCUGGCUCUACCCAUGAAUAGGGUUUAAGAAACAUACUAUGAACAUUCUUUUCAUUUUCGAAAAGGUUUGGCAGAAAUCCAUCCGCAAACCGUUCUAGCUUACGGGUACGGAGGGUGAUCAGCACCCUGUAUUGAUCAAUACUACAUAACUCUGAACGAAAUUCAUCGUUUUAUUCUGUCCGCCUCGGGCGCAAAAAUUUUCCCAUAUAGGGAUAUUCAUACAUGCCUGGUUCCAAACCCGAAGGUUUUUAAUCUUGCUCAACAAUAAUAUGUAAUUCAACAUAUAUGUAUACGGGUAAUUGAAAAAGUCUAUCAACAUGUGAAUAAAUGCCAUGAUUAUUCAAAUGGGGACACUUGUAUAACCAUUUAGAAAUCAAUGAACAGAAUAUAUAUCUGAGCUAACAUGUUGAUAAUCAAAGCGUACAUAAUCUCUACAGGAAUAGAAUAAUUCUGAAACUUCUUACUCAUGUCCAUU
rnacentral:lncRNA from 1 species